AGAAUGAGGGGAGUAGUGGUAACUGAGGAAUAAUUUGGCAGAAUAGAAAGAGGGAGAAGCCAACUCAGCAGCAGCAGGUGCAGAUGUGAUGAGCAGGGGGAGACACAGAAAGGAAGCAGAUAAGCACGCAGGCCGCAAAGCUAAAUUUAAUCACUGGGUGUGUUUAUGGGAAACUGCGAAACCACCCACAUUUUUGUUUCUCUCACACUGAUUCAACCACAUGAUAACUGCUCACACAAGUGAAGGUCAAACAAUGGUUUUGCCAGCUGAAUACCAGAAUAUGACAUUAUGGUCAAAAAAUGAGAAUGAUAUAGGAUUUAUUGACUGUACACUUUAUCACACACACCUAUUAAAACACAACAAGCCAGUAUAUGUCAAGCAAUGUCCCAUUUCUGCCGAAAAAGCCGCAGCCCUAGAUGUCAUGAUAGGAGAUUUAUUGACUAUAGGAGUAAUAAAGCCCACACUCCUGUCAAUCCUGUGCCAAAGCCUAACAAACCUGGCGUAUGGCGUUUCAUACAAGACUUAAGGCAAAUUAAUGCAGUCAACAUUGCUCUGCCACCUCUCGUUUCAGAUGUUCACAGCAUAUUGACAUGCAUUACAUACACAUUUUACCGUGGUGGAUUUAUGCUCUGCCUUUUUCUCAGUACCUGUGCAUGAAGACACACAGCCGUUAUUUGCAUUCACACAUAGAAAUAAGCAGUACACUUGGACUCUUUGCCCCAAGACAUGAUAGACAGCCCUGCUGCUUUCUCAAUGGUGGUCCGUGCUACCCUGGACAGCUUCACUCCUCCAGGGCUGUACGGGAUGACCUCCUGCUCUGUGCUGAAAGUGAAAAAAAACUAUGUCAAACUGCUACACACAUGCUUCUCCAGCACCUCCAACAGACUGGCCACAAAGCAUCAGCAAAGAAAAUGCAGUACUGUCAGACUUAUGUUCAAUAUUUGGGAUUCACACUGUCUCACGGAAAACGUUCCAUGACUGCAGACAGGGUCAAAGCUGUGACCUCUGUCCCUCGGCCCACUACACAGAAGGAAAUGUUGUCCUUAUUAGGCAUGGUGAACUAUUGCAGACAGUGGAUACCAGACUGUUCUUUUCAUGACCACAUUCUGCGUGACUGUUGUAAAAAAAGACAAGCCUCCUCGAAUACUGUGGUCCAGAGAAAUGACUGCCUCUUUAAAUGCAUUAAAGGGAGUGCUGACCUCCCCCACUCAAAGGUGCUGCCUGUGGGAAUGCCGGCCUGCCUGAGAGCAGUAGCAGCUUGCGCUAUCAUGAUAAGGGACUGCGAGAAGCUUACACUCUCACAUGACACUAUUCUACACACCAAUCACCAGGUCACGACCAUUCUAGUAAACAUAACUACACAACAUAUGCAAAUCUCACUAUAAAAGCGAGCAGCACACAUGAUUCGCCAGGACAUUUAUUGAUCCAUAUGCUGUGUUCUUCUGACCGACGGGAUGGCUCAGACAGGCUUGACGAUCAUGACUGCAUGACAUGUAUAAAGGAAUCCAAAGGAAUCACGUCCAGAUUUAGAGCUCAUUUACAUUUAGAGGCCAACAAUGGCGUUACACUCGCCUAACACAGGAACUCGAUUUUGCACCAUCCAAAACCUGUAAAUGUAAAAGACAUGUUGUGAUUUUUGGGUCUGACUGGUUACAGCAGGACCUAUGUCCCAGACUAUGUUGCCCUUACCUCCCCUCUGCGCGUUUUGGUAAAUGAACAAGGCAUGAGAAACCUAUCUGCUCCCCUAUCAUGGACUACAGAAGCAGAACAGGCGUUUAUACAGUUAAAACAACAGCUUUCUGUCGCCUCUGACCUUGCUGUGCCAGAUUACGCCUUGCCUUUUCAUCUUGAUGUUUCUGGAACUGGAACCCAUGUCAAUGGUAUCCUGUUCCAGAAAAAGGGGGAGAGAGAGAAAAGUGUAGACAUAUGUAAGUGCAAUGAAGAAAGUGAGAAGAAAGUGAGAAGAAAGGAGAGCGGCAAAGCAGAGAAAUGAAGGAUGACGAUGAGAAGAGGGCGAGUGGAAAAAGCUGGGUGUUGGAGCUAAGCUAUAAAACCAGGAGGGGGGAAACAGAGUGAUAGGAAGGGAGGAGUGAGGCAAGGCUGCAGAAGAGGUGUGAAGACUCAUCUUUUUCUGGAUGGGUGUGAGUUAAGGCCGGAGCAGAGAGAGGCCUGGGAGCACAGCAUAGCCUAGUGGUAAUAAACCAGGAAACCCCAGUAGAGAAACAGACAACAUCAGCUAUAAGGAAGCUAUAAAGUGUUUUUAAAAUCAAAAUAUAGUCUUCAGUCUGAGCUUGAUAUCUUUAAAGUUGAUUGCUAGCUAGUUUACUCUUAUAGGGAAAUCGGUUAAAAGGGACCGUUUCAGAAAUUUUAGAAGUCAUGUUUGUUUUUGUACAUGUUAUGAGAUAUUUAAUUCAUAAAAUACACAUAUCAAGGGAAAUUCCAGUCCCCUUGACAUAUUUUGUUUUAAAUUGUAUAAAACAGUAUUGUGUCCAUAGCAUAAAAUGUAGCGUACGGUAAAGGAAACAGUUGGGUAAUCAAUUGAAUCUAAAUAGGUUUGAAACAUAAGUUUGGCUCAGUUUACCACCCCCAAUCCCAGGGGAAAGUGGAAAGGAUGAAUCAAACUCUAAAAACUAAAUUGGCUAAAAUCUGUGCACAGACCAAAUUAGAUUGGGUUAAGGCAUUGCCUCUUGCAUUAAUGUCCAUAAGAUGCUCAGUAAAUCAAACCUCUGGUUACACUCCAUUUGAGUUGGAGCAUGGCAGGCCUUUUCCUGGCCCCUCCUCUCGCCUGUUAAUGUCGGAUGAAGCUGAUUCAGACCUCGAUCCGAGGACAUAUUAUAACAUGCUCCGCAGUUUUGUUGCCCAGUAUUCCUCACAGGUUCGCUGAAAGAAACCAGCAAGAGCUGAAAGAGGCUGCACCUGGAGUGGACUACGUCCUCCUGAAAGUCACAAAGAGAAAGUGGGCUGAGCCUCGCUGGACAGGCCCUUACCGCAUAACAGAGCGGACCUCCCACGCUGUCAGGCUCGAAGGGAAAGGUGACACCUGGUUUCAUUACACACAGUGCGCUGCUGCCACCGAACCAGGAAGAACCUUGAGAGAGGUGCAGAAGGACCUGUCAGAAGGAGCUGCAACAGCAUCACCAACCACUUGAGGGAGCCAACGCUCAACCUACAAGCCGGCUGGUUACAAAAGGGGGUGUUCUUCAUACUGAACUAAACAUUUUUAUUUUUCUAUUUUUAACAUCUUUUAUGAUUUUGCUUUUAUAUUGGCUUGAGUUGUUAAGAUUUACAUUUUACAUUGCAAUAGUUUUAAUCGCUGAAAGCUCAUUUAAAGUUGUGUCACUGAUAUUUUUUGUUGCUCUUUAACUCCUAGAACACGCCCUUGGCGAGGUGGGGGGAACUGGACCACGUUUCUGUGCCCCAUCAUCUUCUAUUAGAAGACUUACAAGCUAAGUAAACAUGUCUUGGCCCUUUCCCCUGAAAUGACAGGCAGGCAAAGAUGUUCUGUUGUAUUCCAUGCAUUCGAUCCCUCUUCCAGAGACUGAUUGUUACAGCUCUCACUCCGGAGGAUAAGGAUCUCGCCCUGCAGAUGCCUUUAUUGGCUAGUCAACUUCCCACCUCCUCGCCAACGGAUGAUGAAGACUCUGAUCGUGAUGAUGACGAACAUUAUCGUCUUUCUCUUGUAUAAAUGCUUCUAGAAUGGUUGUUUCUCUGUGGUGUUUUGUAUUAUGCUUGUUAUCAAUUGUUUCCCUCACCCACUUCCUCUUGAAGGAUAUAUCUGGUUGAACUGUGUCUGGUCGGGUUGUGAGGGUUAAGCGAUGUUCUCAGGGUCUCCGGACUUAAGCCUGAGCAAAUGUGUACUCCGACCACUGGAUAUAAAUUGCUUUUUUCCACACCCCUUCCUCACGUUUUACCAUAUUUACUUUUUGAAUGUCCUUAGCAGUUACCGUUCUGGGUUUAUUUUACUGUUGAUUUAUUCUUUCACAUUUUUACGUUUAUAUCUCUCAUUAUUAUAGUAUACUCUGUACUCUCCACAUUUUUAUCAUUACUUAUGCUUUUUGGUUGCUGGGUUACAUGAACUGUUAAUUUUGUGUCACUACCCUGGUUGCGCUGACUCGUUGUAUCCAUGUGUGCAGGAUAGCUGUUACUGCUUUCGUCUGGAACCGAGACUGAUUGCAGCCGACCCCUGGGCAGGGUGGUGCCUGGACUCUUUUCUCCUCAUCUGCAAUGACAGAUAAAGACAAAUGAUAAGACCCGAGGAGUUUUUCGAGCCAGGCUUCGACACGUCUCUGUGUUCCUUUGAAUGUUACUUAUUUUUGUGUGUUGACCCAUUUUAAGAUGGGUCAAAAGGGGGAUUUGAAGAAAAUAUAAUCUGUUUAAACAUUGUUCAGCUUUAAAGUUACUGUGCAACUGUAAUAAAAAUGUGCUCACGACUUUGGCCUUGAGAGCGAUAAGAAGCGAUCGCCUCAUCCUGCAGGUGCAAGAUAUCUACACGCCGAAGAGGCUAGAUUUCCUUUUAUGGAGUUGUUUUUCUGCUAGUGCAGCACUUCCCCCUGUAAGUUUUAGAGAAUAUAUACCCAUCCUCACAGCAAAUCUUUGGAAUCUCCUGAUGUGAGCUGUUGUUGAGAGGUUGUCUCUGUCUCAAUAAAGUUCACUGAUUCCCCA